AAAACAUUUCAGUUGUUAUGGUAAAAAAAAUGUUCUGUUAUUGACAGAAGUGGGAAGUUUUUAGUGGUCUUAUUGUAUUUUUUAUCUUCAGACUUCAAUUAGAAUAUACUCAACUUUGAAUAUGACAAAACAAAUUUGAUUAAGUGUAGAAAUGCAUAUCUGGUGCUACAAAAAUAAAUAUCAUUAUGUUUUGAGUUAAUGGUCCCUCAAAAAGGAUUUGUAUUUUUAUACAGUAACUGGUAUAUUUGAUUUUAUUGAGUGUACUUUUGUUUCUUUUGUUUUUGAAUUAACUGUAUUUUUUGUAAACAUUGUAAAU
rnacentral:lncRNA from 1 species